rnacentral:rRNA from 1 species
UACGGAGGGAGCUAGCGUUGUUCGGAAUUACUGGGCGUAAAGCGCGCGUAGGCGGCUUUGUAAGUUAGAGGUGAAAGCCCGGAGCUCAACUCCAGAACUGCCUUUGAUACUGAGGAUCUUGAGUUCGGGAGAGGUGAGUGGAACUGCGAGUGUAGAGGUGAAAUUCGUAGAUAUUCGCAAGAACACCAGUGGCGAAGGCGGCUCACUGGCCCGAUACUGACGCUGAGGCACGAAAGCGUGGGGAGCAAACAGG